rnacentral:snRNA from 1 species
UUGAGAAAAGACGAUGAAGG